AUUUAUAAAACUUACCAGUUUUUCAGAAAAACAUUGAACAAUAGUUUUUCUGAACACAAAAAGCUCUUACUUCCUCUGCUGAAUUAAAGCCCUUGUCCCCUGGAGUGUUAUUACUAUUGGUUUCUUACAUUUUUGCACAAGUAAGCACAGACAUGUUCUUGAAUGUAUUGGCUACUGCCUCUGCUAAAUUACAGCCCUUAUCCCCUGGAGUGUUAUUACUGUUGCCCUAAUAAGCACAGACAUGCUCUUGAAUGUAUUGGCUAAAAAAUUACUUGCAUUCAUGCACAGCAUCCGCAGGUACAUUCUUACUGUUCUUAAACUUCUAAGGGAGGGUUCAAAAGUCUUAACUGUCCCAUACAAAUAACUGGAUUCAGAUUCUUCUUUUCCGGUAUGUAAAACCAUUUAUCAUCAUACACUGCAUGAUACAUUGAAUGGGCGCACUCAGGGGCUUAGAGAAUUCUGUCAAGAAUGCUCCUGUGCAACAAGACAAGUCAUGAAACUGCCAAGCUGCUAACUAUUCCACUGUGCUUUUGCCAGAGACUGAUUGAGUGUUUAAGUCAUACCCAAUGAACCACAUCAACUGAUUCUUGGAGCCAUGAAUGUUGAGCAAUAUGAACUGAGAGCAGGUCAAGAGAUGCUGAAGAGAAACCACAUGACGCCAGAGGAGGGUCCACCUACCUAACCCGAUCCUUAAAAAGCCAGAGCCUCACUUGAAGUUCAGACACUGAGGCAAGAGGUCGUUUUCGUCACGUGCACUUACAGAUGAAGGAAAGCUCAAAUUUCAACCUUGCGACUGAAAAACUCAGUAAAAAUGGGAAAUGUACCAUCAGAAUGUCACAUGGGAGACAGCCUGAGAUGCCGCAUUUGUAACAAAGUUCUCCCUCCAUGCACAUCCUUUGAUCAUUUAGGCAAAGAUACGGUUCGUGGACAGUACGUCUAUAUUUUCAAUGGAGGAGAAUACUACAGACCAGUUGGCUAUGAUAAUAUGUACAAGUGCAACUACUGCUUUAACAAGGAAAUCAAUGACCAAGAAAACCUAAGGAGAGAAGAGGAGAGAAGAAGAGAGGAAGAGCAGCGGAGAA